AUUGAACGCUGGCGGCAGGCCUAACACAUGCAAGUCGAACGGUAACAGGAAACAGCUUGCUGUUUCGCUGACGAGUGGCGGACGGGUGAGUAAUGUCUGGGAAACUGCCUGAUGGAGGGGGAUAACUACUGGAAACGGUAGCUAAUACCGCAUAACGUCGCAAGAUCAAAGAGGGGGACCCUCGGGCCUCUUGCCAUCGGAUGUGCCCAGAUGGGAUUAGCUUGUUGGUGGGGUAACGGCUCACCAAGGCGACGAUCCCUAGCUGGUCUGAGAGGAUGACCAGCCACACUGGAACUGAGACACGGUCCAGACUCCUACGGGAGGCAGCAGUGGGGAAUAUUGCACAAUGGGCGCAAGCCUGAUGCAGCCAUGCCGCGUGUAUGAAGAAGGCCUUCGGGUUGUAAAGUACUUUCAGCGGGGAGGAAGGGAGUAAAGUUAAUACCUUUGCUCAUUGACGUUACCCGCAGAAGAAGCACCGGCUAACUCCGUG
rnacentral:rRNA from 1 species